AUGUUUGAUGUUCUAACGUUGGCCCCUUAUCGGGGUUGCGGACAGUGUCUGGUGGGUAGUUUGACUGGGGCGGUCUCCUCCCAAAGAGUAACGGAGGAGCACGAAGGUUAGCUAAUCCUGGUCGGACAUCAGGAGGUUAGUGCAAUGGCAUAAGCUAGCUUGACUGCGAGCGUGACGGCGCGAGCAGGUGCGAAAGCAGGUCAUAGUGAUCCGGUGGUUCUGAAUGGAAGGGCCAUCGCUCAACGGAUAAAAGGUACUCCGGGGAUAACAGGCUGAUACCGCCCAAGAGUUCAUAUCGACGGCGGUGUUUGGCACCUCGAUGUCGGCUCAUCACAUCCUGGGGCUGAAGUAGGUCCCAAGGGUAUGGCUGUUCGCCAUUUAAAGUGGUACGCGAGCUGGGUUUAGAACGUCGUGAGACAGUUCGGUCCCUAUCUGCCGUGGGCGCUGGAGAAUUGAGGGGGGCUGCUCCUAGUACGAGAGGACCGGAGUGGACGCAUCACUGGUGUUCGGGUUGUCAUGCCAAUGGCAUUGCCCGGUAGCUAAAUGCGGAAGAGAUAAGUGCUGAAAGCAUCUAAGCACGAAACUUGCCCCGAGAUGAGUUCUCCCUGAGACUUUAAGUCUCCUGAAGGAACGUUAAAGACGAUGACGUUGAUAGGUCGGGUGUGUAAGCGUAGCGAUACGUUGAGCUAACCGAUACUAAUGAACCGUGAGGCUUAACCUU
rnacentral:rRNA from 1 species